AUCACCUGGGAUCUUGUUAAAAUGCAGAUUCUAAUUUAGCAGGACUGGGGCAGGACCUGGGAUUCUGCAUUUCUCACAAGCUCCCAGGUGAUGCCAA
rnacentral:pre_miRNA from 1 species